rnacentral:tRNA from 1 species
UCCCUGGUGGCUCAGUGGUAAAGAAUCUGUCUGCAGUACAGGAGACCUGGGUUCGAUCCCUGGGUUGGGAA